rnacentral:pre_miRNA from 1 species
CAACUACUCCCUCUAUCCCAAAUUUCUUGUCUUAUGGAUAUUGCAAGUAUUUCUUAUUAGAUACAUCAGUAUCUAGACAAAUCUAAGACAAGAAUUUUGGGACGGAGGGAGUACUUU